CACGUGGGGAACCUACCUUCUAGCGGGGGAUAACACAUAGAAAUGUGUGCUAAUACCGCAUAAUAGUAUUUGAUGCAUAUCAGAUACUUGAAAGGCGCAAUUGCGUCACUAGAAGAUGGCCCCGCGGUGCAUUAGCUAGUUGGUGAGGUAACGGCUCACCAAGGCAAUGAUGCAUAGCCGACCUGAGAGGGUGAUCGGCCACACUGGGACUGAGACACGGCCCAGACUCCUACGGGAGGCAGCAGUAGGGAAUCUUCGGCAAUGGACGCAAGUCUGACCGAGCAACGCCGCGUGAGUGAAGAAGGUUUUCGGAUCGUAAAACUCUGUUGUAAGAGAAGAACGUUGAUGAGAGUGGAAAGUUCAUCAAGUGACGGUAUCUUACCAGAAAGCCACGGCUAACUACGUGCCAGCAGCCGCGGUAAUACGUAGGUGGCAAGCGUUGUCCGGAUUUAUCGGGCGUAAAGCGAGCGCAGGCGGUUGAUUAAGUCUGAUGUGAAAGCCCCCGGCUCAACCGGGGAGGGUCAUUGGAAACUGGUCAACUUGAGUGCAGAAGAGGAGAGUGGAAUUCCAUGUGUAGCGGUGAAAUGCGUAGAUAUAUGGAGGAACACCAGUGGCGAAGGCGGCUCUCUGGUCUGUAACUGACGCUGAGGCUCGAAAGCGUGGGGAGCGAACAGGAUUAGAUACCCUGGUA
rnacentral:rRNA from 1 species